rnacentral:tRNA from 4 species
AGACCCGUAGCUCAACCCGGCAGAGCAACCGGCUCAUAACCGAUUGGUUCCGGGUUCAACUCCCGGCGGGUCUACCA